UGGGGAAUAUUGGGCAAUGGGCGCAAGCCUGACCCAGCAACGCCGCGUGAAGGAAGAAGGCUUUCGGGUUGUAAACUUCUUUUAAGAGGGAAGAGCAGAAGACGGUACCUCUUGAAUAAGCCACGGCUAACUACGUGCCAGCAGCCGCGGUAAUACGUAGGUGGCAAGCGUUGUCCGGAUUUACUGGGUGUAAAGGGCGUGCAGCCGGGAAGACAAGUCAGAUGUGAAAUCCCGCGGCUCAACCGCGGAACUGCAUUUGAAACUGUUUUCUUGAGUACCGGAGAGGUCAUCGGAAUUCCUUGUGUAGCGGUGAAAUGCGUAGAUAUAAGGAAGAACACCAGUGGCGAAGGCGGCUUACUGGACGGUAACUGACGUUGAGGCUCGAAAGCGUGGGGGGCCAAAUCAGGAUUAGAUACC
rnacentral:rRNA from 1 species